AACGUAGGUGGCAAGCGUUAUCCGGAUUUACUGGGCGUAAAGGGUGUGCAGGCGGGCUAGUAAGUGGUGUAUGAAAUCGCUCGGCUCAACCGGGCGGGGUUAUGCCAGACUGCUGGUCUAGAGGGCGAGAGAGGGACAUGGAAUUCCGGGUGUAGUGGUGAAAUGCGUAGAGAUCCGGAGGAACCCCAGAGGCGAAGGCGGUGUCCUGGCUCGAACCUGACGCUCAUACACGAAAGCAUGGGAGCGAACGGG
rnacentral:rRNA from 1 species